rnacentral:rRNA from 1 species
GCCUACGGGAGGCAGCAGCAAGGAAUUUUGCGCAAUGGGCUAACGCCUGACGCAGCAACGCCGCGUGGAGGAUGAAGGUCUUUGGAUUGUAAACUCCUGUCGACCGGGAAAAAGCAACUCGACCUAAUACGUCGGGAAGUUGAUUGUACCGGUGGAGGAAGCCCCGGCUAACUCUGUGCC